UACGUAGGGUGCAAGCGUUAUCCGGAAUUAUUGGGCGUAAAGCGCGCGCAGGUGGUUUCUUAAGUCUGAUGUGAAAGCCCACGGCUCAACCGUGGAGGGUCAUUGGAAACUGGGGAACUUGAGUGCAGAAGAGGAAAGUGGAAUUCCAAGUGUAGCGGUGAAAUGCGUAGAGAUUUGGAGGAACACCAGUGGCGAAGGCGACUUUCUGGUCUGUAACUGACACUGAGGCGCGAAAGCGUGGGGAGCGAACAGG
rnacentral:rRNA from 1 species